CAGUCGCCGCGGGAAUACAGAGGGUGCGAGCGUUAAUCGGAUUUACUGGGCGUAAAGCGUGCGUAGGCGGCUUCUUAAGUCGGAUGUGAAAUCCCUGAGCUUAACUUAGGAAUUGCAUUCGAUACUGGGAAGCUAGAGUAUGGGAGAGGAUGGUAGAAUUCCAGGUGUAGCGGUGAAAUGCGUAGAGAUCUGGAGGAAUACCGAUGGCGAAGGCAGCCAUCUGGCCUAAUACUGACGCUGAGGUACGAAAGCAUGGGGAGCAAACAGGAUUAGAUACCCCUGUAGUCCAUGUCUCUUAUAA
rnacentral:rRNA from 1 species